UUUCGCCGCUCUUGCCUUGUCUUGGAUUCUCUCAGACACACAGAGAGAGAGAGAGAGAGAGAGAUAUCCGAGUUUUUGAUUCAGAACAUGAUGAUGAUGAGUUUAUGUGUGCAGUGUGUACUAGACUUAGUAGUAGCUGGUUUCUCUUUGAUGAUUGGUCUCGGAAUUUUUGCCUUUAUUGCCUCCGUUCUUUGCUCUGCUGCUUUCUUCCACAACGCCAAGGAAGUGUUUUAAUUCCAUUUCAAGAACAAGUAACAGCAUUAUUCAUCCAAGCAUCCCAAACAACACUGAGAUGGAAAGAUUUAUUACCAACCAGAACUCUUUUGUGGCACAACAGGCUUUAAGUUGAAUGGGAAUGUGUUCCUGGAAGUACAGAAGGAAGUUUGAAAAUGUAGUUUCUUGUUUCUUGUGGAACUUCUAACUAUUAUGGGAGUGACACUAUGUUUCCACUCGCCUGUAUGUACUCAAAGAAUGUAGCAUUUUUCCCACUAUUGAGCAAUAAAAUCUGGCAAUUUUGAUCUUUACUAGACUUUUUUCAGCAUUUUUUUUUUUUCAAUUUUGAACAUUUUGGCUUACAAAUUUGUAUACUGUAGCUUGUAGCAGGGCUGGCACUAGGCUUAGGCCUAAAGCCUCCCAUGGCCUCUCAAACAAAAAGACCCCAAAAUUAUAUACUCACCCAAGGAAGCCCCUUAAUUCAGUUUCAAGAUAUUUAUUUUCUCCCCCUUCAAUAUCCAAAUUCACCUUCAUCUUCAUGAAUGGGUUUUAGAGAGCUGGAGUAUGGCAAUCUAGCUUUGUUAGUCAAGCAAGGUUGGCUUCUAAUCCACAAUCCAUGAUCAUUAUAAUUCCGAGUACUGAAGGCUAAGGUUUUUUUUCUUACAUAUCAUUCCUAGAAGCCCCAAUGCCCACCCAAUCAUCUUACACUUUGCAUAGGCAAGACAUGUUAUUAUUGAUUGAUUGUGGGAACACGUUAGAAUAUUGGCAAUGGGGAUAGCAUGCAAGUUUGUCAAGAUGGAAAACUCUAUAGACACCCAUUGCCAAAAUCCAAACAUACUUAAGUGACAACUUGUGAUUGGUGCACCAAAAUCAAGUUUUUCAUUAAGUUACAAAUGGUGGUCCCAUGUACAAGUGUUGAUAUCCAACCAAAAAUUGUCACCCAAGCAUGUUGUAGAUUUGGGUGUGGAAAUAGUUUUGCCCGUAGGCGGACUGUUGUCAAGACCGAUGGUUAUCAACCCCGACUACUUAUCAUGUCUAGCUCAACAUGUCAGCCAAUGCAACCACCCUUCGCUCCUUUUGGAAUUCGCUCUAGUCUCUACAAAUGCAACCGAAAGUCAACUUCAUAUGGAGAAUGUGUAAUGGAAUCUUGUCCACUUAAACAACUCUGUUUAAGAGAGGAGUCAUCUCUAAGAGUUAUGUGUGUUUUGUUCCAAGGAUGUAGAGACUGAUAUUCAUUCAUGUCUAAGGGGUCUGGAACAGAAGUACUUUACUAUUACAUCAACUACAGGAACACCCCAAGACUAGGUGGAUUUCUGUGAAGAUUGCCAUGACAAAGUUUUAAUCGCCUGACAUUGAAAUCUCUAUCUCGAUCCUAUGCAAUGCAUGGAGGCUGGGUGAUACACAUCAAUUUGGAGUCUUAGUGCAGCAAAGCGAAGAUGGCAAAAUUACAAUUUCAUGAGAUCAGAACUACGCAGAAUCACAAUGUUGUUUUGGGCCUUCUGGCUUCCAAAAUGGUCACAUCCUCUCUAGCAGACUGAUAUGUAAGUUUAGUUUGGCCAAUGCCUCUACCAAAUUGAGACUAUUAGGAGGAAUUGAAGCUGUGAUCCGUGAUGCAGCUAGACAAGUGUUGGUAGCAAUAGUGGAACCAUUACAACUGUGAUUGCUCCCUCCAUAAGGAUGUUAUAUUGUUAUGCACUACUUCAAGAUCUCCUCUACUGCAAAGAUAUGGGUUUUUGCGCACUGAAAGUUGACUUGUGAUAAUAGGCUGUUUUACCUUUUGCUUACAGCUGUGGCACCAUGUUUCUCCAAACUGGGUCUGCUGGUUGAUUCAAUGUCUACUCAUGGGCUUUCAAAAGGUUUCUUUCAUGUGCAUCCAAAAGAAAUGUAAUUGAGCGAAGAUACAAUACCUGGAAAAGCUACAGAGGCAUGAAGAAGUGAGAGGGGUUGAAUGUGAAGGAGAAAAAAGUAUCGAUGAUUUGGUUGAAAAAUUAACUGGGAAGUCUACAAUAAUGGAUUUCAUUAUCUGCCUCAUGCAAAGAACCAACAAAGAAAAAUUGGCAAAGGGGCUAAAGACUAAACUAAGGAGAGAGAACCAGUGCCUAAUAAAGAAGAAGUUCAAAGUCAAGAAAAAGAAACCACAAUUGAUGGAGCCAAAACAGAUUAAGACGAGGGAGAUGAACACAAAAGGACAGACCCAGGCUAUGAUGCUCAGGUCAUGGUAGAAGCCUCUAAAGAUAUAGAUGCUAAGGUUGUGCAUAAUUUAAUAGCCUUUCGGGAGUUGGCUCAAAGGUCAAGCAUUCAAUUCCAAGGUGAAGAAGGCUAUUAUUGGUAAGUCUUCUCAGCAAAAGACAUCACCAAAAUAAAAUACAAGGAUAGAUGAUUCUGUCACUUGCAAGAAGUCGGAUAAGAUGAAAAGAUAAUUAUGUGCAAGGGCUUGUUAUUGGUAAGUCCUUGAUAGCUAAAUUAACCCAAAAAACUUCACUUUAUUACUUUAGCUGAUGCAUUUUUACAACAAAUGCAUCAGCUUCAAUACUCUAUUCCUAUUUUAUUAAAAUAUUAUUUUUUCCACUGAAAUAUUUUUUUCACCUCUUUCUUUUCCA